rnacentral:rRNA from 1 species
AGAGUUUGAUCCUGGCUCAGAUUGAACGCUGGCGGAAUGCUUUACACAUGCAAGUCGAACGGCAGCACGGGUGCUUGCACCUGGUGGCGAGUGGCGAACGGGUGAGUAAUGCAUCGGAACGUACCGAGUAAUGGGGGAUAACGCAUCGAAAGGUGUGCUAAUACCGCAUACGCCCUGAGGGGGAAAGUGGGGGAUCGCAAGACCUCACGUUAUUCGAGCGGCCGAUGCCUGAUUAGCUAGUUGGUGAGGUAAAGGCUCACCAAGGCGACGAUCAGUAGCUGGUCUGAGAGGAUGAUCAGCCACACUGGAACUGAGACACGGUCCAGACUCCUACGGGAGGCAGCAGUGGGGAAUUUUGGACAAUGGGCGCAAGCCUGAUCCAGCCAUUCCGCGUGAGUGAAGAAGGCC